rnacentral:lncRNA from 1 species
GGGGAAUUACGAGGGAAAGGAGAAGAGAGGGGAGGAAAGGAGAAGGGAGGGGAGGGAAGUGUGAAUGUCUCUUCCCAUUUUUGUUGGCAUAGGUCUGUGGUCCUUCUGUUGUGAACACUUUCCGCGUAGAGUGGCACUGUCAAGCGCAUGGUUUGGAAUUCACAUGCAUGUAUCCUUAAGGUCAGGUAAGCUGAAUCUGCUGAAGUCAGACUCGACAGGAUCCCCACUCAGCCAGACAUCAAAGGCGAAGCCUUGAAACUGGAGAGAUUAGGAGUACUAGCUGCCAACAUCCAAGUAUCUGCCGCCUUUCCUGCCUCUCUAUCACUGGAUAGAGAAACUUAUUUCUUUAAUAGGAAGUAAUAAUAAUAAUUCCUAUUUCCUUGAGUCAAUUCUCCUUUUCUUAAGGUUUUGUGCUUCUUCCGCAUUUUAAGACUGCCG